UCGUAAAUAAAAUUCUAGUUCACUACUUAAAGAUGAAGAAGAUGAAGAUAAACUUGAAGCAUGUGUGUGUUUUCUCUAUGCAAUGAAUGAAAAAAUAGAUGACGAACGAGAACUACUAGAAGAAGAAAUAGAGCUUUGUAUGGAGAAUCUAGAUCCACGAAUUUUUUCAUCAUAUAUAGCAUAAAUAUCAUAAAGAAGUUGUUUUACCUCAUUUUUAGCAGGUUUAGGAUCUUGAUUCAUAUUUUCACAGUAUGCGUCAAGUAAAAUUAGCACGCCAUUCAAUUUAACUCUUGGAUCAAAUACAGCAGCUAAGUUAUGCAUAGGACAUAUCUUGUCCCAAUACUCAUUCCAUUUAGAUUCUAUUUGGUCAAUAAUAGGCAUUAAAAUAUCAUCAUAUCUAUGUUCUGCAAAUUUUUGACUAAUUAUAUAUGCUUGUUGUAAAAAUGAACAUGAAGUUGGAUAAUAAAUACCAGAAAGAACAUUGGUAGCAUUAUAAAAACUAAGCAAAAAAUCUUCCAAAAUUUUUCUUU
rnacentral:lncRNA from 1 species